GAUGAACGCUGGCGGCGUGCCUAAUACAUGCAAGUCGAGCGAACAGACGAGGAGCUUGCUCCUCUGACGUUAGCGGCGGACGGGUGAGUAACACGUGGAUAACCUACCUAUAAGACUGGGAUAACUUCGGGAAACCGGAGCUAAUACCGGAUAAUAUAUUGAACCGCAUGGUUCAAUAGUGAAAGACGGUUUUGCUGUCACUUAUAGAUGGAUCCGCGCCGCAUUGGCUAGUUGGUAAGGUAACGGCUUACCAAGGCAACGAUGCGUAGCCGACCUGAGAGGGGGAUCGGCCACACGGGAACGGAGACACGGUCCAGACGCCUACGGGAGGCAGCAGUAGGGAAUCUUCCGCAAUGGGCGAAAGCCUGACGGAGCAACGCCGCGUGAGUGAUGAAGGUCUUCGGAUCGUAAAACUCUGUUAUUAGGGAAAAACAAAUGUGUAAGUAACUAUGCACGGCUUGACGGUACCUAAUCAGAAAGCCACGGCUAACUACGUG
rnacentral:rRNA from 1 species